GACGAACGCUGGCGGCGUGCUUAACACAUGCAAGUCGAACGGAAAGGCCCUGCUUUUGUGGGGUGCUCGAGUGGCGAACGGGUGAGUAACACGUGAGUAACCUGCCCUUGACUUUGGGAUAACUUCAGGAAAAUGGGGCUAAUACCGGAUAGGAGCUCCUGCUGCAUGGUGGGGGUUGGAAAGUUUCGGCGGUUGGGGAUGGACUCGCGGCUUAUCAGCUUGUUGGUGGGGUAGUGGCUUACCAAGGCUUUGACGGGUAGCCGGCCUGAGAGGGGGACCGGCCACAUUGGGACUGAGAUACGGCCCAGACGCCUACGGGAGGCAGAAGUGGGGAAUAUUGCACAAUGGGCGGAAGCCUGAUGCAGCAACGCCGCGUGCGGGAUGACGGCCUUCGGGUUGUAAACCGCUUUCGCCUGUGACGAAGCGUGAGUGACGGUAAUGGGUAAAGAAGCACCGGCUAACUACGUG
rnacentral:rRNA from 1 species